rnacentral:rRNA from 1 species
GAUGAACGCUGGCGGCGUGCCUAAUACAUGCAAGUCGAGCGAACAGAUGAGGAGCUUGCUCCUCUGACGUUAGCGGCGGACGGGUGAGUAACACGUGGAUAACCUACCUAUAAGACUGGGAUAACUUCGGGAAACCGGAGCUAAUACCGGAUAAUAUAUUGAACCGCAUGGUUCAAUAGUGAAAGACAGUUUUGCUGUCACUUAUAGAUGGAUCCGCGCCGCAUUAGCUAGUUGGUAAGGUAACGGCUUACCAAGGCAACGAUGCGUAGCCGACCUGAGAGGGUGGUCGGCCACACUGGAACUGAGACACGGUCCAGACUCCUACGGGAGGCAGCAGUAGGGAAUCUUCCGCAAUGGGCGAAAGCCUGACGGAGCAACGCCGCGUGAGUGAUGAAGGUCUUCGGAUCGUAAAACUCUGUUAUUAGGGAAGAACAAAUGUGUAAGUAACUAUGCACGUCUUGACGGUACCUAAUCAGAAAGCCACGGCUAACUACGUG